rnacentral:sRNA from 1 species
UAGUGAGAUACCUGUGGCACUGUGCCCCC